rnacentral:pre_miRNA from 1 species
AAUAAGUGUAGUUUUACACUGUUCAUAUUCAACGUUUGACCGUUCGUAUUAAUUGAAAUUUUUUUAUGAUUAGUAUUUUUAUUGUUAUUAGAUGAUAAAAAAAAUAAAUAGUACUUCACGUGUAAAUAUUUUUUUCUUAUUUUUUCAUAUUUUUUUAAAUAAGAUGAACGGUUAAACGUUGAAUAUGGAUAUCCACGAGCCACAACUACA